rnacentral:rRNA from 1 species
UGGGGAAUAUUGCGCAAUGGGGGAAACCCUGACGCAGCGACGCCGCGUGCGGGAUGAAGGCCUUCGGGUUGUAAACCGCUUGUGAUUGGGAGCAAGCUUUCGGGUGAGUGUACCUUUCGAAUAAGCGCCGGCUAACUACGUGCCAGCAGCCGCGGUAAUACGUAGGGCGCAAGCGUUAUCCGGAAUUAUUGGGCGUAAAGAGCUUGUAGGCGGUUCGUCGCGUCUGGUGUGAAAGCCCAUCGCUUAACGGUGGGUUUGCGCCGGGUACGGGCGGGCUAGAGUGCAGUGGGGGAGACUGGAAUUCCCGGUGUAACGGUGGGAUGUGUAGAUAUCGGGAAGAACACCAAUGGCGAAGGCAGGGCUCUGGGCUGUUACUGACGCUGAGAAGCGAAAGCGUGGGGAGCGAACAGG